GUCUUUUUGAUAANUAANUUUAAAGUCUAGUCUGCCCAAUGNANNAUUANUUGAAUGGCCGCGGNNUAUUUUGACUGUGCAAAGGUAGCAUAAUAAUUAGUUUUUUAAUUGAAAGCUGGUAUGAAUGGCUGAACGAGAAAAUUACUGUCUCAAGUUNAAAUUUAUUAGAAUUUUAUUUUUAAGUUAAAAAGCUUAAAUUAAAUUAAAAGACGAGAAGACCCUAUAGAGUUUNAAUAAUUAUUUAGNAUUNNUUNUGNUUUUAGAAAUANANNNAUUUUAUUNUAAAUAAUUAUUUUAUUGGGGUGAUAUAUAAAUUUAGUAAACUUUANUNAAAUNUUAGUACAUAUUUUUAUGAUUAAGUGAUCCAUUAUUNUAUGAUUAUAAGAUUUAAUUACCUUAGGGAUAACAGCGUAAUCUUUUUAAAGAGUUCUAAUCGAAAAAAAGGAUUGCGACCUCGAUGUUGGAUUAAAAUUAAUAUUUGGUGUAGAAGCUNAANAUUAUUAGGUCUGUUCGACCUUUAAAAUUUUACAUGAUCUGAGUUUAAAUCGGUGUGAGCCAGGUUGGUUUCUAUCUUUAAUAUNAAUAAAUUAUU
rnacentral:rRNA from 1 species